rnacentral:misc_RNA from 1 species
GCUCCGUAGGUGAACCUGCGGAGGGAUCAUUACAGAGUUCAUGCUCUACCGGGUAGAUCUCCCACCCUAUGUUAUUAUUACUUUGUUGCUUUGGCGGGCCGUUAGGCUCCGGCCCGACUACCGGCCCCGGCUGGUAAGCGCCCGCCAGAGGACCCAAAACCCUGAAUAUUAGUGUCGUCUGAGUACUAUAUAAUAGUUAAAACUUUCAACAACGGAUCUCUUGGUUCUG